GAUGAACGCUGGCGGCGUGCUUAACACAUGCAAGUCGAACGAAGCACUUUGAAACUUUCGGGUUUCAAAGUGACUGAGUGGCGGACGGGUGAGUAACGCGUGGGUAACCUGCCUUAUACAGGGGGAUAACAGUUAGAAAUGACUGCUAAUACCGCAUAACCCGAUAGAGUCGCAUGACUUAGUCGGAAAAGAUUUAUCGGUAUAAGAUGGACCCGCGUCUGAUUAGCUAUUUGGUGAGGUAAUGGCCCACCAAGGCGACGAUCAGGAGCCGGCUUGAGAGAGUGAACGGCCACAUUGGGACUGAGACGCGGCCCAAACUCCUACGGGAGGCAGCAGUGGGGAAUAUUGCACAAUGGGGGAAACCCUGAUGCAGCAACGCCGCGUGAAGGAAGAAGUAUUUCGGUAUGUAAACUUCUAUCAGCAGGGAAGAAAAUGACGGUACCUGACUAAGAAGCCCCGGCUAACUACGUGCCAGCCGCCGCGGUAA
rnacentral:rRNA from 1 species